rnacentral:rRNA from 1 species
GGAAUAUUGCGCAAUGGGGGCAACCCUGACGCAGCAACGCCGCGUGAGUGAGGAAGGUCUUCGGAUUGUAAAACUCUUUUAUUUGGGAAAAAUGCCUUAGUGGCUAAUAUCCACUAAGGGUGAUGGUACCAAAGGAAUAAGGACCGGCUAACUUCGUGCCAGCAGCCGCGGUAAUACGAAGGGUCCAAGCGUUGUUCGGAAUCAUUGGGCGUAAAGCGCGCGCAGGCGGAUCAGCAAGUCGGGUGUGAAAUCUCGAAGCUCAACUUCGAAACUGCGCCUGAAACUGCUAGUCUAGAAUGUCGGAGGGGGCAGGGGAAUUUCACGUGUAGGGGUAAAAUCCGUAGAGAUGUGAAGGAACACCGGAGGCGAAGGCGCCUGCCUGGACGACUAUUGACGCUGAGGCGCGAAAGCGUGGGGAGCAAA